rnacentral:tRNA from 1 species
GGGGCUAUAGCUCAGUUGGUAGAGCGCCUGCAUGGCAUGCAGGAGGUCAGGAGUUCAAUUCUCCUUAGCUCCACAG